rnacentral:ncRNA from 2 species
UGCCACGAUCCACUGAGAUUCAGCCC